UCGCUUCCGGAGCGGCCUGCGUUGUAUCACGCUAGUUGGUGAGGUAAUGGCUCACCAAGGCUAUGACGCAUAGGGGACCUGAGAGGGUGACCCCCACCGAUGAAACUGAGACACGGUUCAUACCCCUACGGGGGGCUGCAGCCGAGAAUAUUCGACAAUGGGCGAAAGCCUGAUCGAGCGAUACCGCGUGGUGGAUGAAGUGCUUCGGCACGUAAACACCUUUUAUGGAGGAGGAAGUUAUUGACGUUACUCCAUGAAUAAGGGGCUCCUAACUCUGUGCCAGCAGGAGCGGUAAUACAGAGGCCCCAAGCAUUACCCGGAAUUACUGGGCGUAAAGAGUGCGUAGGUGGUCGUGUUAGUCGUUUGUUAAAAACCGGGGCCUAACCCCGGAAGUGCGGGCGAAACGGCACGACUAGAGGGAGUGAGAGGUGAAUGGAACUCAUGGUGUAGGGGUGAAAUCCGUUGAUAUCAUGGGGAACACCGAAAGCGAAGGCAAUUCACUGGCACUUUCCUGACACUCAAGCACGAAAGCGUGGGUAGCGAACGGGAUUAGAU
rnacentral:rRNA from 1 species